rnacentral:rRNA from 1 species
UACGGACUGUGCAAACGUUAUUCGGAAUCACUGGGCUUAAAGAGUCCGUAGGCGGCAUGUUAGGUGAGGUGUGAAAUCCCCCGGCUCAACCGAGGAAUUGCGCUUCAAACCGGCGUGCUUGAGGAAGAUAGAGGUGGGCGGAACUGAUGGUGGAGCGGUGAAAUGCGUUGAUAUCAUCAGGAACACCGGAGGCGAAAGCGGCCCACUGGGUCUUUUCUGACGCUGAGGGACGAAAGCUAGGGGAGCGAACGGG